GAAAAACUUGCUAUAUGAGAGAAAGGCAUCAGCGUGGUACCAGGUCACUUACCAUCCCAAAUGGAUAAAGAAGUCUCUGGAGUUACAAGAGCCUGAUGCUGCUGGAAAUGCAACAAUCUUGAGCUUUGCUUGGAUUGCAGCUGAUUACCUUGCUCGGAUUAAGAUUAAGCAUAGGGGCACUGAAGGUGUUGACACUGCUAAGCCAGUCAACUCACUUGUGAAGUACCUUGCUGAUCGGAUCUGAGUCAGCUGACCAGCAUUUGAAGCACUUUUGUGGCCGCAAGUCCACUCUGCCAUUGUUUUAUGUUUAUAAUUAUUAAGCUAAAGGUUCUAUUUAGAGGCUGUUUGUUUGAGCUUAAUGAUUGCAGAUUAUUUACUAGAAGAUGUCAUGUUCUGUUUAUCAGUCCUCAGUUUUCAGCAGUUUACAGCUCUGCAUCCCAUAUUCAGUGAUUACAGCCUCUGGUACGAUAUCAUAGAGUUUGACCAUUGAGUAUCAGAUCUUCUACUCAUUAGUACUAGGUCUAUUAAACCACCAAAUUGAUGUAGUCCUUUUGGUUUCUCAAUUUUUCUAGCUUCUACUGUUGAACUGAGGUUUCUGUUUGUGCAAGUCAGGUGCCCUACAUCUAGACUUGGAAUUUGAAACUAGAUGUACGUUUUCUUUCCAUUGUUCCUGUCUGACAUUUGUCUAUGGAGCAGUAGACUAUGCAUGCAUAUGAAACUGAAAGUACGCUAUUUCUAGUAAAGAAUUGUCACUAAAGGGAGUAAAUUCUUUAUUAGUUUAGGUGUAUCUCAGGGGACUGGAUUAUCUUGUUGGGGUUCCCUGAGAUACACACCUAACUUCACAAUCAUGGAGAACAGAACGAGCGUUGAUCCUGUUUUGACAAUUAGAAAACAUAUUUGUUUCAGCUGCUCCAAGAUGUUUCUCACUCUAAACUUGUGAGGUUCUGGUUACAAACAGCAUCACCGCAGGCAAAAGCGUUUGUACAAGGAGUGAUAUUGUAGAAGUCCAAAUUCUUGGUUUUUCAUCAGAAGCGAAGCACUGUUUGACUUUUAAUGGUGGGUUCUUGGGUCUUCUGGGACAAUAUAAAGUGAAAAAAGAAGAGGAGUUGGUCACCGGUCACAUUUGGUCAAUGCCUAUGUACAAUAGUAGGAAGCUUGGGGAGCUGAAGGAGAGGCUUAAGCAUUCUUACAGUGCACUCAAGAAAGAAUUUAGGCAAGUUUUUGAGAAGAUGGAUUUGGAUUUUGAGCAACUCACAGAUGAUGAGAAAAACUUGCUAUAUGAGAGAAAGGCAUCAGCGUGGUACCAGGUCACUUACCAUCCCAAAUGGAUAAAGAAGUCUCUGGAGUUACAAGAGCCUGAUGCUGCUGGAAAUGCAACAAUCUUGAGCUUUGCUUGGAUUGCAGCUGAUUACCUUGCUCGGAUUAAGAUUAAGCAUAGGGGCACUGAAGGUGUUGACACUGCUAAGCCAGUCAACUCACUUGUGAAGUACCUUGCUGAUCGGAUCUGAGUCAGCUGACCAGCAUUUGAAGCACUUUUGUGGCCGCAAGUCCACUCUGCCAUUGUUUUAUGUUUAUAAUUAUUAAGCUAAAGGUUCUAUUUAGAGGCUGUUUGUUUGAGCUUAAUGAUUGCAGAUUAUUU
rnacentral:lncRNA from 1 species